UUCCAGACUCCUACGGGAGGCAGCAGUGGGGGAUAUUGCACAAUGGGGGAAACCCUGAUGCAUCGACGCCGCGUGGAGGAAGAAGGUCCUCGGAUUGUAAACUCCUGUCCGAGGGGACGAUAAUGACGGUACCCUUGGAGGAAGCACCGGCUACUACGUGCCAGCAGCCGCGGUAAAACGUAGGGUGCAAGCGUUGUCCGGAAUUACUGGGUGUAAAGGGAGCGCAGGCGGACUGUCAAGUUGGGAGUGAAAACUACGGGCUCAACCCGUAACUUGCUUUCAAAACUGGCGGUCUUGAGUGGUGUAGAGGUAGGCGGAAUUCCCGGUGUAGCGGUGGAAUGCGUAGAUAUCGGGAGGAACACCAGUGGCGAAGGCGGCCUACUGGGCACUAACUGACGCUGAGGCUCGAAAGCAUGGGUAGCAAACAGGAUUAGAUACCCGCGUAC
rnacentral:rRNA from 1 species